rnacentral:rRNA from 1 species
ACGGAAGGCAGCAGUGAGGAAUAUUGGUCAAUGGGCGGAAGCCUGAACCAGCCAUGCCGCGUGAAGGAAUAAGGCCCUAUGGGUCGUAAACUUCUUUUGACGGGGAGCAAUAAGGUCUACGAGUAGGCCGAUGAGAGUACUCGUCGAAUAAGCAUCGGCUAACUCCGUGCCAGCAGCCGCGGUAAUACGGAGGAUGCAAGCGUUAUCCGGAUUUAUUGGGUUUAAAGGGUGCGUAGGCUGUUGUUCAAGUCAGAGGUGAAAGCCCGGGGCUCAACUCCGGAACUGCCUUUGAUACUGGGCGGCUUGAAUCCUGUUGCCGUAGGAGGAAUGAGUAGUGUAGCGGUGAAAUGCAUAGAUAUUACUCAGAACACCGAUUGCGAAGGCAUCUCACGAAGCAGGCAUUGACGCUGAGGCACGAAAGCGUGGGGAUCAAACAGGAUUAGAUACCCUGGUA